GGACCCCGUGGUUUGCUGGGACCCAAGGGACCUCCAGGACCCCCAGGACCUCCAGGCAUAGCUGGCAUGGAUGGGCAGACGGGUCCCAAAGGGAGUGUGGGUCCUCAAGGUGAGCCGGGACCCCCAGGUCAACAAGGAACUCCAGGUGCUCAGGUGAGAGAAUGCUUUUUGAGCCAAGUGAAAAGAAAAACCUUUGUGUCCAUUAGAUUGAAGUGCAUGAUGCAAAAUUGGGGGUCAGUCAUCUUGCUGCAGGAUUGGAAAAUGGAGAUCAAGAGGAGUUUCGUUUUCCUAAUGUGGAUUAAUUGCUAUGUCAGGAAACUGCUGCAUUUAGGGAAGCAACAAAGCUCAGUGAUAGGACACCUUUGUUGCAGGCAGGAGAUCCCAGGGUCAGUCCCUGGUAGCUCUAGGUAG
rnacentral:lncRNA from 1 species